GACUAGAGUGUGGUAGAGGGGUAGUGGAAUUUCCCUGUGUAGCGGUGAAAUGCGUAGAUAUAGGAAGGAACACCAGUGGCGAAGGCGGCUACCUGGACCAACACUGACACUGAGGUGCGAAAGCGUGGGGAGCAAACAGGAUUAGAUACCUUGGUAGUCCACGCCGUAAACGAUGUCAACUAGCCGUUGGGACUCUUGAAGUUUUAGUGGCGCAGCUAACGCACUAAGUUGACCGCCUGGGGAGUACGGCCGCAAGGUUAAAACUCAAAUGAAUUGACGGGGGCCCGCACAAGCGGUGGAGCAUGUGGUUUAAUUCGACGCAACGCGAAGAACCUUACCUGGCCUUGACAUCCAGAGAACUUCCCAGAGAUGGAUUGGUGCCUUCGGGAACUCUGAGACAGGUGCUGCAUGGCCGUCGUCAGCUCGUGUCGUGAGAUGUUGGGUUAAGUCCCGUAACGAGCGCAACCCCUAUCCCUGGUUGCUAGCAGGUAAUGCUGAGAACUCCAGGGAGACUGCCGGUGACAAACCGGAGGAAGGUGGGGAUGACGUCAGGUCAUCAUGGCCCUUACGGCCAGGGCUACACACGUGCUACAAUGGCGCGUACAGAGGGCUGCCAACUCGCGAGAGUGCGCCAAUCCCUUAAAACGCGUCGUAGUCCGGAUCGGAGUCUGCAACUCGACUCCGUGAAGUCGGAAUCGCUAGUAAUCGCGAAUCAGAAUGUCGCGGUGAAUACGUUCCCGGGCCUUGUACACACCGCCCGUCACACCAUGGGAGUGGAUUGCACCAGAAGUAGUUAGUCUAACCU
rnacentral:rRNA from 2 species